GCCACCUUAGCUCAGUUGGUAGAGCAACUGUUUCGUAAACAGUAGGUCGUGGGUUCAAAUCCCGCAGGUGGCU
rnacentral:tRNA from 3 species